rnacentral:rRNA from 1 species
GACAAAUAAUUUUAAGAUCUGAUCUCAAAUCAGGUAGGACUACCC